rnacentral:rRNA from 1 species
UACGGGGGGAGCAAGCGUUGUUCGGAUUUACUGGGCGUAAAGGGCGCGUAGGCGGCCAGCACAAUUCAGUUGUGAAAUCUCCGAGCUUAACUCGGAACGGUCAACUGAUACUGUGCGGCUAGAGUGCGGAAGGGGCAACUGGAAUUCUUGGUGUAGCGGUGAAAUGCGUAGAUAUCAAGAGGAACACCUGCGGCGAAGGCGGGUUGCUGGGCCGACACUGACGCUGAGGCGCGAAAGCCAGGGGAGCGAACGGG